rnacentral:tRNA from 3 species
GGCCCUUUAGCUUACUGGUUGAAAGCUGACGACUCAUAAUCGUUAGAGCAUGGUUCGAUUCCAUGAAGGGCCA